UGAGGAAUUUUCUGCAAUGGGCGCAAGCCUGACAGAGCAAUACCGCGUGAGGGAUGAAGGCCUACGGGUUGUAAACCUCUUUUCUCAAGGAGGAAGACAUGACGUUACUUGAGGAAUAAGCAUCGGCUAACCCUGUGCCAGCAGCCGCGGUAAUACAGGGGAUGCAAGUGUUAUCCGGAAUUAUUGGGCGUAAAGCGUACGUAGGCGGCUUAUCAAGUCUGGGGUUAAAGACCACAUCUUAACUGUGGG
rnacentral:rRNA from 1 species